CAUGACUUUCAAGUAGGUAUCACUACUUUUCCGUUUGCACGUCGAGCAUGACUUGUCAGUUUUGUUGAUAAGGGGGCGCGUCACCUGUUUUAUUCGCACGGCUCAUGGACUACUUUGGGCGCAUUUUCGUUCGCCUGUCCUCCGCUGUGAUUAUGAUUUCCGUCGGAGUGAUAUCCGAAAAUAUAAAUGUGGCGCACCAGAGACGAGAUGCAUACUUCAGCGUCGGGAUUAGAAUCAUCGACCCGACGUUUUAGAACUCUGGUUCUCUCGUAGAGGCUCUCUCAAAGGCAGGUAUCCAGCAACGUCACAGCAGUCAGGAGUGACGUCACCGCCAUCAUAAUGACGUGGACUCUGCGCCUGACGCUGGUGGCCGCCGCCGUCGCCGUCAUCACUGCAACCUGCCCCUCCUCCGAAUGGAAACAGUUCCGAGACACGUGCUACUGGGGGUCCUCCUUCAUCAGUCGCUUUGUUGACGUUGCACGUGCCUGCACCUUGCAGCACCCCGAUGCAACAAUGGUCUCCAUCCAUGACGCCGAACAGAACACAUUCCUUGGCGAGGAGGUGCUGGGAAUUGACAACUCGGGUCGCCAUAUUGGCUGGAUAGGUUUGACCAGAUCUGACACCACCGCUCCCUGGGCCUGGUUGGACGGAACUCCGUACGAUUUCAGCCUCUGGUAUCGGGAUGACCCGGGGUAUUAUGAUGGGACGUGCGCCGUGCUCAACUACAGCGACUGGGGGGUGUGGGCAGGAUAUAACUGCAGCUCGAAUUUUGUGUUGGAGUACUUCAUAUGCCAGGUACCUGCCACUUAGGACAGAUUGCAAUGCUGAAUGCUAUACUGAAACGGUUUACCCUAUUUGGACAUUCGAGCUGUGAAUGUGGUUUUUGGCGAUGUUGUUCAUUUUGAAUUAGAAUGUGUAUGCGUAUUCUGUUUUUAUCUUGUGCGAACAGUGAAAAUACAAAUACCUUUUUCAUUUU